AUGGCGACGUUGUCGAGAUCUAAAGGGGCGCGAUCUGCGUCUCCACUUAGGAACAGCACGCCAGACAAUCUACGUCGUUCUGGAAGCUUUGGUAAAUCGAGUGGGAAAAACUUACAUUUAGCUGCUUCGUUUGAUUCCAAAUCGAGAAAACAUGCAAGAUCUUCCUCUUCCACAACGGAAAUUGGAAACAUUGAAAAUGAGUACAUUAGGAAUCUUCAACAACAGAUUUACUUCCUUGAAUUGGAAGCUAACUAUCUACGAGAACAAGCAAGGAAAGCUUCAGCCAUUCCACCUCGCGUCACUGAGGAAGCAGAUCGUAUGAUGCGAAAGCUACGAGAUCUUCAGACUCAAGUGGAUGAACGAUCCUCAGAUGUUGCCAGGAAAGAAUCUCAAAUGCACAUGUUGGAGGCAGAGAAAGAAUCUGCCAUCAAACGCCUCAGGGAUGCUGAAGAGUCUCACGCAGCAGAGAAGCGUCAGUUAGUGAAUGAGAUAGUCUCGCUGAAAAAGAUGUCUGACCUACGUGAACGUGAAAGUGCAAGACGAGAUGUGCAGGUACAUCAGUACAAGAGUGAAGCUGAUAAAGGACUGACUGCUUUACAAGAAGCAGAGAGAAAAGUGCAAAACUACAGAAUAGAGCUUGACCACAAGACUGAAGAUUUGAACAAUGUAAGAAUUGAACUAGAAGAGAAGAGAGCAGAAUGUUUAAAGCUUAAGACGCAGCUGCAAGAGAUGGACGACAAGUUUUUUGACUCUCAAGCAAAAACAAAGGAGGAGUUAGGAAGGGCACUCAGGGAAGAGAUACGCCAAUUAAGACUACAAUUAAAAGAAAAAGAAAUAAAUGCUGAACAGGACAGAAGCUUGAGAAACAAGAUCCAGGAUGAUUGCACGGCGUUAAUCAAAGAAAAUGCUGCUAUAUCUGCUCAGGUCGUAGAACUUAGAAAACAAAUAGACAUGGAUCGUGCUCAUAAGGACGAGAAAGAUUUUCGUCGACACGCAAACAUCCAAGAGCUUGUGACUCUGAAAGAAAGCGAGAAACACCUACAGCAUGAGCUUGAACGAAUCAAGGAACUGUUAAAAAUCGAACAAAAAAAUCACAGGGAGACCCUUGCCAAGUUGUCAAGAGAAGAGCAAGCUUCCCUAGAAGCGAACUUGAAGCGAACUCAACUCCGUAACGAAUUAAACGAAGUGGAGGGACACCAAGACUCAACUAACUCAGAGAACGUGGCUCUAAAGAGAGAUAAACUGCUCCUCGCUGACGAAGUAGCGAACUUAAACGCAAAGCUUGACGAACGUGACGAAGAAGUGGAGCGCCUCAAACUGCGACUUGAAGACUCCGAGUCGCGCUGCUCGCAUAUGGAAUCCAAAGUUCGAAUGCAACGAAGCUUGGAAUCCAUCAAAUGGGAAGAGUUUGAGAAGCUGGCCACAACCAUGAGAGAAUUCUCCCGCUCGAUGAGUCCAUCAAAAAGUGGUAGCUUGGUGGAUUACUAGACGUGUUUCCUUUUUUAACUUUUCAGUUCUUCUCGAAUGCAAAACUAACCUCAUUAUUUGGUCUGACAGAGAUUCCCUUGGUUAGGAGCUGUUAUAAAUUCGUCUUGGUUUUAUAUUCUGAUAAGUUCAUUCUGUAAUUCCAGAGCGCUGUGGUAUCUUUGCUUAUUUGCAACGUUACACGGCGAGUUGCAGCAACCUUUACAGUGCCAUGGACACCAAAGGCCUUAAAAGGCAUCAUAUGCCCAUCGUAAAAGGCCUUUUGCAGUUAGUGGCCUAUGUGCAAGUACAAAACUCAUGUUACUUGAGAGAAAAUGAGGAGGAAAAUUUCAGUCCGUUUGCCUUUUUGGCGUCUAAGGCGAAUUUGCUUGAGAGAGAAUUGCGCAUUAGAGUAUUCAGUUCGAUAGAAAAGGAAUUUAAAUUCGUUUGCCGUUUUGGAUACCUGGGCGCAAAUUCGCCCUCCAGGAAGGUCUUUGAUAUCUAAGAUUACUGACUGAAAUGGGCCUGUUUAAACUGUAAACAUUUUCAUAUUAGUGUAUCAGCUUUGAUCUGUUCUGGAGUUUUGUCAGUGAAUGAGCUGACAAAGACUUUGGAAGCUCCGUUUACUGACUCAACGAUCUGGUCUUCACAACGAGAAAAACGUAAGCACAAGCCAGCAUAUGAGCUGUGCGGUGGUGCUUUUCGUUAGAAUCCUUCAGAGCAAGUGACGUUUUGAUAAACACGCCUGCUCGACUCGUUUUUGAAAACCAGCCUCAUGGGUUUGACUUCCGCUAGAAUCUACUUCCGCUUUCGCGUAGGAAACUUCAUAAGACUAUCCUUAAUCAGGAAAUCAUUAAAGAAUUAUAUGUAGUGAUAAUUUUGCAUUUUCCCCAUUUUUUUUUUUCAAGAUUUUAACUUUUUUACCUCUCUUACAUUUUGGUGGAUAUUUCUUUUUCCUCAAUACCUGUACGUUUAACAAUGUCUUGACAAUGUAAAGAGAAAUUAAUAAGGGAUGAACAGAGUGUUUAGGUGUGAAAAUGGUUUUAAAAAAGAACUGCAUGGAACUAUGAAAAAAAUUAUUAAGAAAACCAUUUUUAAUUUAUUGUGAUAUUAAUUAUAACUUUCUGUUGUUUGAAAGAAUCAAAAGCCAAAUAAAAUCAUAUACAGGUAAAUCAUUACCAAA
rnacentral:misc_RNA from 1 species